rfam:Oryza meridionalis cultivar OR44 (W2112) chromosome 7, whole genome shotgun sequence.
AAUAAGUGCAGUUUUACACUGUUUAUGUUUAACGUUUGACCGUUCGUUUUAUUUAAAAUAAUUUUAUGAUUAGUAUUUUUAUUGCUAUUAGAAGAUAAAACAUGAAUAGUACUUUAUGUGUGACUAAUCUUUUUUUAUUUUUUUCACAAAAUUUUCAAAUAAGAUGAACGGUCAAACGUUGGACACGGAUAUUCAAGGCUGCACUUAUU